rnacentral:rRNA from 1 species
UACAGAGGGUGCAAGCGUUGUUCGGAAUUAUUGGGCGUAAAGCGCGUGUAGGCGGCUUUGCAAGUCGGGUGUGAAAGCCCUCAGCUCAACUGAGGAAUUGCGCCCGAAACUGCAGAGCUUGAGUGCCGGAGAGGGUGGCGGAAUUCCCCAAGUAGAGGUGAAAUUCGUAGAUAUGGGGAGGAACACCGGUGGCGAAGGCGGCCACCUGGACGGUAACUGACGCUGAGACGCGAAAGCGUGGGGAGCAAACAGG